rnacentral:lncRNA from 1 species
ACCUACGGAUCAAAAUGGUCCAGAGACUGGGAGUGAUAUGCAGAGUGGUGUUUAAUACUGUAUACAGCUGAUUCAAUUAAGGUUGUCCUUCCAAAACCUCAAACCUUAAACUCUGAGCGUGUAAGGGAUAAUGGGUUUUCACCUAUUAGGCCCUUAAACUCGUGUUUUCUGUCGUGCGUCUUCUAUAUGUCUUAGGUAUUCUUUCAAAGCCAAAUUUCAAAGUUUAUGAAUCUAAAUAAACAAUAACCAUCAUCCUUUGCGCGCUCAGAGUUUAAGGUUUAAGUUUUUGGAAGGACAACUUUACGUGAAUCAGUUGUAUUAUAUCUUUGAUUUGUACUGUAUAUGUUGUGCUUGAAAAGGGGAAUGUUUGUAAAUUAUGAUUUUGGAAAAUGGUUUUGAAUAACCCUCAUUAACUUUUCGAUAAUUACGUUAUGAAUAUUUUCUUGGCCCGUGAGCCGUUCUCAUUGAUCAAGACGUAUAAGGCGAUUUCCUCACGAUUCAUAAGAAUGUACCCUGUUUGCCAGAGGUUCUGUAUCUUUCGCCUUAUUCCCGCUCGUCAAUUUUACGCGAGGCGAAGAGAACCUCUGGUGGCACGCGAUGCAAAUCUCUCUUCCUUUGGUACAAAAUUUGUACCAAGCACAUGAUUGGUUAGUUAUAAUUAGCAGUCACAUGAAGUGGUGUGAUUGGCUAGACAAAAAAACCUGUUUAUAAAUCUCAGAGAACACGAUGUAAACAAAAUACAGAAAUAAUACGAACGUCGAACGUAUUAAAAUCUUAAAAUGCUUUACUUGGUGUGGGUUUAUAUUUGAGAUUAACUUAUACUUUGUUCUGCUAUAAAAAGAUUUUCUGCGCUGGAGAAGAGCUGCCAUCGCGGCAUGACUUGAGUUGACGGCAUGACAUGUUCACUCAGUUACAGUAUUAAUAUUUGUAAAAUAUAUUAAAGUGUUGGUCACUUGCUUUAUAUCGUUCAAAGUUUUAAAUUUUGGUAAUUCUUCGACUUUGAUAGUUAUUAAUAGGAUUUAUUUUGCCAAUAUUUUCCCGUUGUAUGUUAAGGAAACGUUGCUACAUACUGGCUCCGUUGCACAUAUAUAUAAAUAUUUAUAUAUUUAUAUUCUUUCACUUUUGACUUUAUACGCUCGCUAAUGCAAACGGCAUUCCACAAAUUUAACAAUCAGUAAGGUUGCUUUUUUGCUUUUGUGAGAAAAUCUACAUAAUCCUUACGAAUAAUCUGCAUGUUUGGGCUGCUUAAUAUUUUUAAUAUCAAUUUUACACAAGGUCUGAAGAGAGCUAUUUUGGUAGUAUGACAAACCCGGAAGUUUAAAAACGUCACAAAUAUAAAACCGGUUUUGCAAGUUCUCAAACGGCAACGUCAGCAUGGAAGAGAGAUUUGUAUCGCGUGCCACCAGAGGUUCUCUUCGCCUCGCGUAAAAUAAAUACGAGCGGGAAUAAGGCGAAAGAUACAGAACCUCUGGCAACCAGGGUAAUAAGAAUGAGGCUCCCGGGCCGACGUAAUUAUCGACAUGGCGUAUUAAAGAAUUUCCAGUCGCACCAUGUUUCUUUUGUCGCCUUAACCAGCAAAUGGGCGGUGGCAAGUUGUGACGCGAAAAUAAGGCUAAACUGGCGUGAAACGGGAGUAAAUACCAACCCAAAAUGAUCAUGUUUUGUGAUUGGCUUCAUAAAACAAUAGAGCGUUUGCACAUGACGUCACAGCCGCCAUGUUGGUGUUCCAAUUCAAAAUAAUUUUAAUUAGACUCUUUUGUAUGGAACAACAUGGCUGCCAUAGCUUUUGUUGAGUUGGUCCUUAGCGAAUGAGUGCAAACGCUCUAUAGUGAUCAGUGUUCAUGACUCGUUCUUUAGAAAGAUCUUUUAUUGUUAUGAUCAACCAAUCACAAAUCCCGUUCAUAUAGGUUGGUAUGGCGACCCUGAAACGGUGAAUCUCGCAUAAGUGAGAUACUUAUCAUUUAUAUACCUGGAGCGAGGGGGGAUUCGGCAAAAUAUUACAGUAGUAUAAUAUUUAAUAUUGAGUAAUCAUCACUGAUAGACUUGACCAGGAGCAGUUGCCAGAAAUGCAACUAUAGGGUUUCUGGCAGAAUUGGACCUGCCGCCCUGCGAUUCCAGUGCAGCGCUCUAACCAGCUGAGACACUUGUCCAUUUGUCGAGCUCUAACCACAAUUUUUUGUAUCUAUAUAGUGGGUGAUGCCAGUAUAAGUUAUGGGUAAAUAUCGAGAUUUUUUUGGCAUCUUGCUCAGUUGGUUUAUAGAGCGCUGUAUCGGAAUCGCAGGGCCGCAGGUUUGAUUCGUGUCAGAGGGCGAUAGUUUGCAAUUGUUCCUGGUUAGAUCUAAAACUGUAUAUAAAAUUUACACUCGAUAAUUUCCAUCUACCAAAAUCCUUCAGCCUGAGUGUCAGGCCAUAUUUUUCGUUCCUCAAAUGCGGGCGAAAGGUAAACUUCAUGCAGGUAAGCCACAUGCCUGGUUACUAUUGUUCUAGUUUAUACAGAACCAUAACAUAGAAUCGGUAACCAAGCUUUUAAUAGAAUUGUCUAAAAGUUGGAGUGAGUAAAUCUUAUAAGAGAGCCUGCUCGUAGGCUAAUCUUUCACAUAAUUUUAAUGCUUAUAGUUACCUUGUUUGUUAUUCUGGGCUUCUGUAAACUUGAACAAUAGUAUCUAGGCAUGUGAGUUAUCUAAAGUUGUGAAUUGGGUAGCAACGAGGUAAACAACGGUACCCAAACCCCUCUAUGAGUGACUGUUAUGUCAUGGAGAACAUUGGGAUUACACACACACAUCUGCAAUUUUAACUUCUAUAUACAGAUAUACGUCAGUAUGAAGGAGCACUUAAACUAAUAAUAACCUAAAACUUUAUGUGUUGACUUUAUUUCUCAAGAUACAAAAUAUUUUAUCUCAAGACACGAAAUUAUUAUACUGAUUAUGACAUUCUAUAGCUACGACACCCGAAAAAUUUUGGAAAGGGUUGAAAUUGGAAACCUUACAUAUUCUUGUAUUUUCGACUAUUAUCUUACACAUUUGUUGCUUUUAAAUCUAAUUUCAAUUUCUCUAGGGAGCUGCAGUCCCCCCUGCCCCGUACGCUUUAUAAUUGCAUGCAGCAUGCUUAUAUAUUGGCUAUGAAUAUCCUAUUCAAAGUUUAUUCCGGUUCCCGUUUCGUUGUUUUGAUCCGCUGUAUCCCUGCUUAAAUUCUAAAAUUAAACGAGACUUACCUGUAAGUUGAAGUUUGAUUGGAAUUGUGUGACUUGUUAUGCAGGAACAAGGGGAUUACCUGAGAUUGCAUAACAAGUACCCAACAUUCAGUCUUUAAAGAAACUGCCAAACAUUAAUUGAGGGUCUGAAUGGGGUUAACUGACUACUAACAUUUGCCUGAAUUUUUGACUGACAACUGACAAAAUGUCCUAACUGACAACUGAGAAAUAUUAAUAAUGAAAAAACCAUGAGUCAGCUUUUUUGCAGUAAGGGACCGGUCAUUAUUUAUGGCAGGGGUGGGGGCCGAAGAGAAAAUGGUGGGGUAACUGAAAAAUAAUAGUUGCUUUAGGUGGGGUGG